GAGUUUGAUCUUGGCUCAGGACAAACGCUGGCGGCGUGCUUAACACAUGCAAGUCGAACGGUAUGCCUUCGGGUAUAUAGUGGCGGACGGGUGAGUAACACGUAGUUAACCUACCCAACAGUGGGGAAUAACCCCUCGAAAGAGGAGCUAAUACCGCAUACGCUCUCUUAUGUAGGUAAGAGAGGAAACGCUUUCCGUAAGGAGGGUGGCUGAUGGAUGGGACUGCGGCGGAUUAGCUAGAUGGUGGGGUAAAGGCCUACCAUGGCGACGAUCCGUAGCUGGUCUGAGAGGACGACCAGCCACACUGGGACUGAGAUACGGCCCCAGACUCCUACGGGAGGCAGCAGUGAGGAAUAUUCCACAAUGGGCGAAAGCCUGAUGGAGCGACGCCGCGUGGGGGAAGAAGCCUUUCGGGUGUAAACCUCUUUCUUGGGGAUGAUACGUUCGGUUAGUAGCCGAACUAAGACAGUACCCGAGGAAUAAGCAUCGGCUAACUACGUGCCAGCCGCCGCCGU
rnacentral:rRNA from 1 species